rnacentral:ncRNA from 1 species
GAAAGGCCGUCAAAUCGCCGGUGACGGCUGGGUGUGACCGAGACACCCCAGUUAGG